AGUUAGGUAAGCUAAGAAAGCUCCCGGGCCCAUAACCCGUAUAUGAUGGUUAAAGCCCAUCCCUUGCUA
rnacentral:tRNA from 1 species